CUUACCCCUAUAAAGUGAAUUUACAUUUUGUGAUUAGUCAAGCAAGUCAAAUUAGCCUCAUAUUUUGGACCAAGUCACAUUUUCCAGGCUUAAGAGCUUUACCUGAUUUAUUUGUUCCUUGUAUGGAAGCGGGUCCACAACUUUGAUUAUGUUUGUUGCCCUUCCCUGUUAACUGCAAGGUGGUUUAUA